rnacentral:rRNA from 1 species
CAUGUGGCUUAAUUUGACUCAACGCGGGAAAUCUUACCAGGUCCGGACACACUGAGGAUUGACAGGAAGUAUCGUCUUUUGAAUUCUUUAAGGAUAUGUCGUUUUUAAUGACAUCUUUUAGAUGGAUGAUUCGUGUAAAUAUGCUAGUUCUUUCAUGAUUAUGUGAUAGGUGGUGCAUGGCCGUUCUUAGUUCGUGGAGUGAUCUGUCUGCUUAAUUGCGUUUCACUAAGGCCCCAAAGUUAGCAAAUUAUCAAUCGUUACAGAGUCGACCCCUCACCUUUGAGUGCGCGUCCUAACUUGUAGUACAUGGUGUAAAUGGAUUUGUUUUGGGUACCCAGAAAGCAACGAACGUGACCGCAACGUCUUGUUGUCUCUCUUUGACAGUUAUGGGUUAUCCCAGUCAUGUGUUUAUACUUUUAUGUGUAAAUACGUACGACACAGAGACUAGAUACCAAACUAGGCGUACCGCUGUAUCAUUUCUUUAAACCAGAGGAAGGUUGCGGCAAUAACAG